rnacentral:rRNA from 1 species
GUGUCAGCCGCCGCGGUAAGACGAACCGAGCGAACGUUGUUCGGAAUCACUGGGCUUAAAGGGCGCGUAGGCGGGCGACUAAGUCUGUUGUGAAAUCCUCCAGCUCAACUGGAGAACUGCAAUGGAUACUGGUCGUCUCGAGGAAGGUAGGGGCAUGUGGAACUAUCGGUGGAGCGGUGAAAUGCGUUGAUAUCGAUAGGAACUCCGGUGGCGAAGGCGACAUGCUGGACCUUUUCUGACGCUGAGGCGCGAAAGCCAGGGGAGCAAACGGGAUUAGAAACCCUCGUAGUCC